GUAUGUUCCUUUAAGUGGAACAACAGCAGACCGCCGUGGUGUUGUUUGCUUUGGAGGUGGUCUGCUGGUGGCGUCGACGCCUGCAGGCGGUCCCCUCCUCUGUUGCCCAGGAAACACGGAUGGUGGAUGAAGGGCGCGCAUACAAAAGAGCGAAUAAACCUGUGGCGGCGGCAGCUGGGGAGCGACACCACCGAUUCCCUCCAGCUCAUGUGCAGCCUCGCCGGGGUUGAAAACGUCGCCGUGCUCUCAAGUGCCCUCCACCCAUCUUCUUUGUGUCGGGGCUCUCCGUCUCCACUUGGUGCCGUCUCCUUUCCUCUAAACCGGACUCCCGUCAGUGCGCAGCUGUGGUUGGCACACCCGCAUCUGCUGCCGUGGGCCGGCCCGUCGUCGACGCCCGGCCAGGAGGCGAGCAGCCUCUCACCGCGGGUCCUGGGCAGCAUCUCAUCUCGGGCAGCAGCAUGGGGACGAACAGGAGAGGAAGCAGAAGAUGGGAUCUCUCCUCUCGCACCGUGUGAUGCUGCAGGCCAGGUGCGCGAGGAAUCUGGAAACCACUGAUCUGCUGACAUGUCGCCAUUCAGGACACUGGGAGGAUCCAGAUGGGAACCAACAGCAAGACAGGUUAUGUGUACAGGCUGCAUUACCUUCAUUCACAUGAGGGGGGCUUCAUUUUCACAGGCACACAAUAUCACAAGGAGAAAUGAAUAGCAAUGCUCCGUCAGUGAGAUGACUGAGAUCAAUGAAGCCCAUUUCAAGUGACACCGAUCUUUUAGUAUGGGAUGUAUUUCAUUCUCCUUUGCCUCAAAGUAAAAAAAAACAACAAAAAAAAAACAGUAAGGAGAAACAAUGGAAUGAAAGAACAGGCAUUCCCUGGGGUAUCUUGGGAGGGCAGUUGGGUUGCAUCCCACUUUUCUGCUGCUUUGUGUUGUGUGUUCUUCUCCAGUUACACUGAUGAAAAGGCGAAUCGGGGCUCGCACCGGACCUCAUUGUAAACCUGCCGGCAUUGCGCCAUCUCCCUCUGCUGUACUGCCACCAAAGGCUGUGAUUGAUGCGCGACGCCAUUACCGCUCUCCUGUACCUUCGGAGGGAGAGAGGAUCCAUGUUGGACUGGAGAGAGGAUCUCGGCUGCCCUGCGUGUGUGUCGGUGAAAGGAGCUCUGAGGAGUUGAAGCACGCCACUGGCCUCUCGGCAGGCAGUGUGCGCAUGGUCAGAUUGGGCAGGGCGGUAUUUCGUAUAUAUUUUGAGCGAAAAAUAAUUCGCUGCAGUGUUCUUUUUUUUUUGUCAACCUCAAACGCGUGUACUUAGCCCCCUUACCGUGAGUAAUACCAAUACAGCUUCAUCCGCCCCCACUCUCACUUUUGGCCGAUCAAACCCACUGACGCUGCAGCCAUGGAACACGCCACGCUUGCGUUCUGCAGCUGCUGUGUGCGGUGACCUCCUCGCGCGGUUGCCUUGGUGACGCUGUCUAACACUGUAGUCACUUCUCCCAUGCAGAAGACACUUGACAUUGCUGUCUUGGGCGUUAACGUCUCAACAAAGCGAGCAUGUGUCUGUGCCAGCCCCAUGAGUGGAAAGCUAUAAAUAUUUUUAAGAAAAAGAAGAGAGAAAAAAAAAUGUGUGAUGAUGGUUUUCACAUAUUUCAAGUGUAAUUCGCACAGUAUGUUUUUGUUUGUCUUAAAUCCUCUUAAUAUGGGUUUGAUACCAACUAUUUAAAUGUAUUAUCAACAGUACAUACUCUUUUUACUGUCAUGGAUGGGUGUGUUUGUGUGUCUGUCUGCGUGAGUGAGUGCACUGUUUGUGCAUGUGCCCUACUUCUCUCUGUGUGUUUGUGUUCAUUUCCAUAAACGUGCAUGAGUACUCUGCUUCUGAUAGAAACUUGUUUGUACUGGGCCCGAGGCUAUCAACUGCUUUACAGUGAUUUUUUUUGUCUUCUCAUCACUGGAAACUUUUUUAAAUGCCUGAAGAUCUUCUUCUAGCCACUGGAUGUAACAGAAAAGGGAUCAAAAAAAUAUUUACAAAUGAUUCUUAGCAUUUGUUACAACUACACCGGAGUACCGGCGAUUGUGAUUUAGAUAAUCAUAAGAAUGGUGCUGGAAAUUAAUGGUGUGUAGUUUUCUAAAUGAUGCCAGCUGGCAUCGAUUUAAUGGUUUUGAUGCUUACAGCCCCCUCAUCUGAUACUUAAGCAAAUUACAUCAAAUGCUAAUAAUUAUGUGCAAAUAGCUUUUUGUUUUACCCAGGUCUGGACUGUACUAACAGUAUCUCACUAAUAUCUAACAGUACUAAUGUCUGCUAACAGUCGGAUGAUUACUAACCUGUACUGUGAAUGCUGAUGGCUGGCCUGGUUCUCCCUAACCCACCGACUAACCCUCUGCUUGAUGCACACACUCCUCUCUCAACAUCCUGCAAUCCUUCUACAGAUGACCUCCCCGAGAUUGGUCUUUGAAGAAAAAAAAUAAAUAAAAAAUUUAGCGCGUCAAGAAGGCUUUCAGGACUUGGGAAGGGAAAUGUUAUUAACCACAAGACGAAAAAAGAGGAGCGGGCGCAGCGGCUAAUAUGAAACUGGGUUGACCACACACUUGGAACAGAAUCCGCACCAACCUGAUUCUGACCCCGAUGCCAAAUGAUUUUACAGCACUGUGUCACACUCCACAGGCUGAAUUCAAAUAUCAGGAGACCAUGUUUUGUGUCUGUGUGGUCAACCUGUGCAGGUGAGUGCCUGGCUUGUUGUCACAAGCCAAGCGAACGGCUCCACUACUAACUCCUUAUGGUGUUGAUACUAACAAUGGGGAGGCUGGAUCAGGCCCCGCCCGUGGCUCUUACUAACAACUCUGCUCUCUCUGACUGACGCACUCUUUCGGUCCCGAUGUCUCUUUCCUUUUUUUUUGAAUUAGACCAGAACAUACCUCGUAGCGCCAGUGACGUGCGUUCGAUCGCAUUGCAUGGAAGCUUCAUCCGAAACAUCCUCUUGUGUCAUGAGCAAGUGCUUUUUACCGGAGAGCCGUGCUACGGAGAACAACUCAAGUCCUAAAUGAUUAAGCUAAAGACGUUUUCCUCUCAUGAUGAGCUACUAACAUCACCCGAAGUUCAAUUAACAGUUACUAACAUGAAGAGCUUCUGAUAGCUCUCUGCAAACUAACAAACUAACCCACUAAUAAACUACUAAUCUAACGAGAAACGAACUAAAUCACUAACUGUGUUGCGUGGCAGAAUUGGUGAAGCACCCUGAUUUUGAUUCUUCAUAUUUGAUCAAUUCAUGACAGUGUUGAGUGCGCGUGUGUGCGUGUGUGUGUGUGCGUGCGUGCACGAGACAGAGUGUUUGUACAGAGUGUGACGUGAUAGUGACCGCCAUAUUCAUAUCUAUAUGUAUCCACAGUUAAUUAUUCAGCUGAGGUGAGCACCAGGACACUUCUAAAACCUUGAGCCUCUCAAACACUGAACUGUGUGGACGUAUAAAGCAUGUUGAGAAAAAUAAUUUAAAUGUAAACAGCUAUUUGAAAAACAACAACUAUAUUGCUAAUUUAUGAGUUGUCUUUACUGUAUACUUUUGUAAUAAACACAUGAAUAAAACAUGUUUUUUGAAUCAAA